UACGUAGGGUGCAAGCGUUGUCCGGAAUUAUUGGGCGUAAAGAGCUUGUAGGCGGUUUGUCGCGUCUGCUGUGAAAUUUCGGGGCUCAACCCCGAACUUGCAGUGGGUACGGGCAGACUAGAGUGUGGUAGGGGAGACUGGAAUUCCUGGUGUAGCGGUGAAAUGCGCAGAUAUCAGGAGGAACACCGGUGGCGAAGGCGGGUCUCUGGGCCGAUACUGACGCUGAGGAGCGAAAGCGUGGGGAGCGAACAGGA
rnacentral:rRNA from 1 species